GAUGAACGCUGGCGGCGUGCCUAAUACAUGCAAGUCGAGCGAACAGACGAGGAGCUUGCUCCUCUGACGUUAGCGGCGGACGGGUGAGUAACACGUGGAUAACCUACCUAUAAGACUGGGAUAACUUCGGGAAACCGGAGCUAAUACCGGAUAACAUGUUGAACCGCAUGGUUCAACAGUGAAAGACGGUCUUGCUGUCACUUAUAGAUGGAUCCGCGCCGCAUUAGCUAGUUGGUAAGGUAACGGCUUACCAAGGCAACGAUGCGUAGCCGACCUGAGAGGGUGAUCGACCACACUGGAACUGAGACACGGUCCAGACUCCUACGGGAGGCAGCAGUAGGGAAUCUUCCGCAAUGGGCGAAAGCCUGACGGAGCAACGACGCGUGAGUGAAGAAGGUCUUCGGAUCGUAAAACUCUGUUAUUAGGGAAGAACAAAUGUGUAAGUAACUAUGCACGUCUUGACGGUACCUAAUCAGAAAGCCACGGCUAACUACGUG
rnacentral:rRNA from 1 species